rnacentral:rRNA from 1 species
UACGAAGGGGGCUAGCGUUGUUCGGAAUCACUGGGCGUAAAGGGCGCGUAGGCGGCUUUAUAAGUCGGGGGUGAAAGCCUGUGGCUCAACCACAGAAUUGCCUUCGAUACUGUAGAGCUUGAGACCGGAAGAGGUAAGUGGAACUGCGAGUGUAGAGGUGAAAUUCGUAGAUAUCGAGAGGAACACCUGCGGCGAAGGCGGGUUGCUGGGCCGACACUGACGCUGAUGCGCGAAAGCCAGGGGAGCGAACGGG